rnacentral:snRNA from 1 species
CUGCUCGCUUUGACAGCACAUAUGCCAGAACUGGAACGAUAAAGAGAAGAUUAGUAUGGCCCCUCUGCAAGGAUGACAUGGAAAUUCAUGAAUUUCUUAAAAAAAUACCAUAUUUUU